rnacentral:rRNA from 1 species
UGGCGCACGGGUGCGUAACGCGUGGGAAUCUGCCCUUAGGUACGGAAUAACAGUGAGAAAUUACUGCUAAUACCGUAUGAUGUCGCGAGACCAAAGAUUUAUCGCCUAGGGAUGAGCCCGCGUUGGAUUAGCUAGUUGGUGGGGUAAAAGCCUACCAAGGCGACGAUCAGUAGCUGGUCUGAGAGGAUGAUCAGCCACACUGGGAUUGAGAACGGCCCAG